rnacentral:lncRNA from 1 species
UUGAAAAUAUUUCUAAAAUUUUUAGGGGGACAAAUGGAGAUAUUUGAAAGUUAAGGAGAAAAGUAAAAAAUUAAAUAUUUAUAUGGAGGUUUUGUAUAUUUUAGCUUUGAAAUAUUGUCAAAUUUAAAUAACUUAUUAAUUAUACUAUAGUUAUAAGAUUUUUUUGGGCUAAAACCAUAAAAGGAUAAAAAUAUAUACAAAUUAUCUCAGCUAUAGACAAUUUUGAAUCGAAUACUCAGCCUUUCAAAAUUUUAUUUUUUACUAUACAAACUUUCAAUUUAUUUGAUUUGAAUUAAUCAAUGAUGUUUUGACUCAAAUUUAAAUUUGUUGUUUAUCUUUACAAUUUAAUUAGUAUACUUCAUACAAUUCUCGCAAUUAUAAAUUUAUUAAAAUAAAUAAUUAGCUUAAAUUUUUAAGUUAAAGUUAUAUUUAAUAACGCAAAUCAACAAAUUGAAAAA